ensembl:snoRNA SNORD82 Small nucleolar RNA SNORD82
AGCACACUUGAUGAACAACAAGGGACUUAAUACUGAAUGUAAUUGAUGUCACUACUUAUUUUUAUCUGAUGUGC